GACGAACGCUGGCGGCGUGCCUAACACAUGCAAGUCGAGCGAUGAAGUUCUUCGGAACGGAUUAGCGGCGGACGGGUGAGUAACGCGUGAGCAAUCUGCCUUACACAAAGGGAUAGCCUCGGGAAACUGGGAUUAAUACCAUAUGACACUUGGUAAUCGCAUGAGGACCAAGUCAAAGAUUUUAUCGGUGUAAGAUGAGCUCGCGUCUGAUUAGCUAGUUGGUGGGGUAAAGGCCUACCAAGGCGACGAUCAGUAGCCGGCCUGAGAGGGUGAACGGCCACACUGGAACUGAGACACGGUCCAGACUCCUACGGGAGGCAGCAGUGGGGAAUAUUGCACAAUGGGCGCAAGCCUGAUGCAGCGACGCCGCGUGAGCGAAGAAGGUUUUCGGAUCGUAAAGCUCUGUCCUCUGGGAAGAAAAAAUGACGGUACCAGAGGAGGAAGCCCCGGCUAACUACGUGCCAGCAGCCGCGGUAAUCCACGAGAGUA
rnacentral:rRNA from 1 species